GAUGAAGAACGUAGCGAAAUGCGAUAAGUAAUGUGAAUUGCAGAAUUCAGUGAAUCAUCGAAUCUUUGAACGCACAUUGCGCCCCCUGGUAUUCCGGGGGGCAUGCCUGUUCGAGCGUCAUUUCACCACUCAAGCCUCGCUUGGUAUUGGGCAACGCGGUCCGCCGCGUGCCUCAAAUCGACCGGCUGGGUCUUCUGUCCCCUAAGCGUUGUGGAAACUAUUCGCUAAAGGGUGUUCGGGAGGCUACGCCGUAAAACAACCCCGUUUCUAAGGUUGACCUCGGAUCAGGUAGGGAUACCCGCUGAACUUAAGCAUAUCAAUAAGCGGAGGA
rnacentral:misc_RNA from 1 species